rnacentral:rRNA from 1 species
CAGCAGCCACGGUAAUACGUAGGGUGCAAGCGUUAAUCGGAAUUACUGGGCGUAAAGCGUGCGCAGGCGGUUAUAUAAGACAGAUGUGAAAUCCCCGGGCUCAACCUGGGAACUGCAUUUGUGACUGUAUAGCUAGAGUACGGCAGAGGGGGAUGGAAUUCCGCGUGUAGCAGUGAAAUGCGUAGAUAUGCGGAGGAACACCGAUGGCGAAGGCAAUCCCCUGGGCCUGUACUGACGCUCAUGCACGAAAGCGUGGGGAGCAAACAGGAUUAGAGACCCCAGUAGUCCCUGUCUCUUAUAC